UCCUACGGGGGGCAGCAGUGGGGAAUAUUGCACAAUGGGCGAAAGCCUGAUGCAGCAACGCCGCGUGAGCGAAGAAGGUCUUCGGAUUGUAAAGCUCUGUCCUAGGGGAAGAAGAAAAUGACGGUACCCUUGGAGGAAGCCCCGGCUAACUACGUGCCAGCAGCCGCGGUAAUACGUAGGGGGCAAGCGUUAUCCGGAAUUAUUGGGCGUAAAGAGUGCGUAGGUGGUUACCUAAGCAGGGGGUGAAAGGCAAUGGCUCAACCAUUGUUAGCCCUCUGAACUGGGUUACUUGAGUGCAGGAGAGG
rnacentral:rRNA from 1 species